UACGUAGGGUGCGAGCGUUGUCCGGAAUUAUUGGGCGUAAAGGGCUCGUAGGCGGUUUGUCACGUCGGGAGUGAAAACUCGGGGCUUAACCCCGAGCCUGCUUCCGAUACGGGCUGACUAGAGGUAUGCAGGGGAGAACGGAAUUCCUGGUGUAGCGGUGAAAUGCGCAGAUAUCAGGAGGAACACCGAUGGCGAAGGCAGGUCUCUGGGCAUUAACUGACGCUGAGGAGCGAAAGCAUGGGGGAGCGAACAGG
rnacentral:rRNA from 1 species